CCUACGGGUGGCAGCAGUGGGGAAUAUUGGGCAAUGGAGGAAACUCUGACCCAGCAACGCCGCGUGAAGGAUGAAGGUUUUCGGAUUGUAAACUUCUGUCGCAAUGGAUGAAGAGUGACGGUACCUCGUAAGAAAGCCACGGCGAACUACGGGCCAGCAGCCGCGGUAAUACGUAGGGGGCGAGCGUUGUCCGGAAUGACUGGGCGAAAGGGGAGUGUAGGCGGCAUAGUGAGUUAUGUGUGAAACCCCGAGGCUCAACCGCGUAAUUGCACAUAAAACUGGUAAGUUGGAGUUCAGGAGAGGUACGUGGAAUUCCCGGUGUAGCGGUGGAAUGCGUAGAUAUAGGGAGGAACACCAGAGGCGAAGGCGACUUACUGGACUGUAACUGACGCUGAGGCUCGAAAGCGUGGGGAGCAAACAGGAUUAGAUACCCUUGUAGUC
rnacentral:rRNA from 1 species